GCCUGUUUAUCAAAAACAUGUCCUUUUGAGUUAAUUUAAGGUCUAACCUGCCCAAUGAGGAGUUUAAUGGCCGCGGUAUUUUGACCGUGCAAAGGUAGCAUAAUCAUUAGUUUUUUAAUUGGAGGCUGGAAUGAAGGGUUGGACAAGAAAGAUACUGUCUACGGUUUAAUUUAUUUAGAAUUUUAUUUUUUAGUAAGAAAGCUUAAAUGGAAAUGAGGGACGAGAAGACCCUAUAGAAUUUUAUAGAUUUUAAUUUAAAGGUUUGUUGGUAGGAGUUUAUUUUUAUAUUAUAAUUUAUUUUGUUGGGGUGACGGAAAAAUUUUGUAAACUUUUUUUUUUAUUAUAACAUGAGUAUAUGAGUGUUUGAUCCACUAAGUGAUUAUAAGAUUAAAUUACCUUAGGGAUAACAGCGUAAUUAAUUUGGGGAGUUCAUAUCUAUAAAUUAGUUUGCGACCUCGAUGUUGGAUUAAAAUUGGCUUUAGGUGCAGAAACUUAGGGGCUAAGUCUGUUCGACUUAUAAAAUUUUACAUGAUCUGAGUUCAGACCGG
rnacentral:rRNA from 1 species